rnacentral:rRNA from 1 species
GCGGCAUGCCUUACACAUGCAAGUCGAACGGCAGCACGGGUGCUUGCACCUGGUGGCGAGUGGCGAACGGGUGAGUAAUACAUCGGAACAUGUCCUGUAGUGGGGGAUAGCCCGGCGAAAGCCGGAUUAAUACCGCAUACGAUCUACGGAUGAAAGCGGGGGACCUUCGGGCCUCGCGCUAUAGGGUUGGCCGAUGGCUGAUUAGCUAGUUGGUGGGGUAAAGGCCUACCAAGGCGACGAUCAGUAGCUGGUCUGAGAGGACGACCAGCCACACUGGGACUGAGACACGGCCCAGACUCCUACGGGAGGCAGCAGUGGGGAAUUUUGGACAAUGGGCGAAAGCCUGAUCCAGCAAUGCCGCGUGUGUGAAGAAGGCCUUCGGGUUGUAAAGCACUUUUGUCCGGAAAGAAAUCCUUGGCUCUAAUACAGUCGGGGGAUGACGGUACCGGAAGAAUAAGCACCGGCUAACUACGUGCCAGCAGCCGCGGUAAUACGUAGGGUGCGAGCGUUAAUCGGAAUUACUGGGCGUAAAGCGUGCGCAGGUGGUUUGCUAAGACCGAUGUGAAAUCCCCGGGCUCAACCUGGGAACUGCAUUGGUGACUGGCAGGCUAGAGUAUGGCAGAGGGGGGUAGAAUUCCACGUGUAGCAGUGAAAUGCGUAGAGAUGUGGAGGAAUACCGAUGGCGAAGGCAGCCCCCUGGGCCAAUACUGACGCUCAUGCACGAAAGCGUGGGGAGCAAACAGGAUUAGAUACCCUGGUGGUCCACGCCCUAAACGAUGUCAACUAGUUGUUGGGGAUUCAUUUCCUUAGUAACGUAGCUAACGCGUGAAGUUGACCGCCUGGGGAGUACGGUCGCAAGAUUAAAACUCAAAGGAAUUGACGGGGACCCGCACAAGCGGUGGAUGAUGUGGAUUAAUUCGAUGCAACGCGAAAAACCUUACCUACCCUUGACAUGGUCGGAAUCCCGCUGAGAGGUGGGAGUGCUCGAAAGAGAACCGGCGCACAGGUGCUGCAUGGCUGUCGUCAGCUCGUGUCGUGAGAUGUUGGGUUAAGUCCCGCAACGAGCGCAACCCUUGUCCUUAGUUGCUACGCAAGAGCACUCUAAGGAGACUGCCGGUGACAAACCGGAGGAAGGUGGGGAUGACGUCAAGUCCUCAUGGCCCUUAUGGGUAGGGCUUCACACGUCAUACAAUGGUCGGAACAGAGGGUUGCCAACCCGCGAGGGGGAGCUAAUCCCAGAAAACCGAUCGUAGUCCGGAUUGCACUCUGCAACUCGAGUGCAUGAAGCUGGAAUCGCUAGUAAUCGCGGAUCAGCAUGCCGCGGUGAAUACGCUCCCGGGUCUUGUACACACCGCCCGUCACACCAUGGGAGUGGGUUUUACCAGAAGUGGCUAGUCUAACCGCAAGGAGGACGGUCACCACGGUAGGAUUCAUGACUGGGGUGAAGUCAU